rnacentral:rRNA from 1 species
UACAGAGGGUGCGAGCGUUGUCCGGAAUCACUGGGCGUAAAGGGCGCGUAGGUGGCGCUCCAAGUCCGUGGUGAAAGCUCGAUGCUUAACAUCGAGUCGGCCACGGAAACUGGGGGGCUGGAGCACUGUAGGGGCAGAUGGAAUUCCGGGUGGAGCGGUGAAAUGCGUAGAGAUCCGGAGGAACACCGACGGCGUAGGCAGCGCCCUGGACGACACCUGACGCUGAGGCACGAAAGCUGGGGGAGCGAACAGG